GACAGCCUUCUGAUGACAGAGACUAGAACAACAUAGCUGCAACCCAGGGAAUGCCAGGGAUUGUGGCCACCAUCAGAAGCCUGCAAAAGAAGAGAGUGACCUGUGAUGUCUUCCCACUACUCCCAGGUUGAGAGAGAGAGAAUGAAGACACAUUGCUGUACAGGAACUAACUGAAUGCUUUGAA